rnacentral:tRNA from 1 species
GGAACGGUGGCUGAGUGGUUGAAAGCGGCACCCUGCUAAGGUGUUAAUCGGGUUUGUUCCGGUUCGAGGGUUCGAAUCCCUCCCGUUCCGCCA